rnacentral:rRNA from 1 species
CUACGGGGCGCACCAGUGAGGAAUUUUGCGCAAUGGGGGGAACCCUGACGCAGCAACGCCGUGUGAGUGAAGAAGGCCUUUGGGUCGUAAAGCUCUGUCAACUGGGAAGAAGUUACUAUGCUUAAAUAGAGUGUAGUAUUGACGGUACCAGUGGAGGAAGCGUCGGCUAACUCCGUGCCAGCAGCCGCGGUAACACGGGGGACGCAAGCGUUAUUCGGAAUUAUUGGGCGUAAAGGGCGCGUAGGCAGUCUUGUCGGUCAGGUGUGAAAGCCCGGGGCUCAACCCCGGACGUGCACUUGAAACAGCAAGACUUGAGCACGGGAGAGGAAAGCGGAAUUCCUGGUGUAGAGGUGAAAUUCGUAGAUAUCAGGAGGAACACCGAUGGCGAAGGCAGCUUUCUGGACCGAAACUGACGCUGAGGCGCGAAGGCGUGGGUAGCGAACGGGAUUAGAUACCCUCGUAGUC